ensembl:lncRNA
CUUAGACUCCUCGUCCAAUCACGUGUGAGGUCAUAGGCAUGACUGAUACAGCAGUACUUGCAAGACGAGCAUACAAACAGACACGUGUGUGUUACUAUAUUCAGAAGAACUGUAUCUCCAGUUCCUUUGUUUGGUUUUUGCUGCUUCGUGAAUAAUGGCUGGACGACGUCUCGCGCUCAACUCGCCUUCAACUCCUCUCCGCGGUCACCAACUUUCGGCCAGUCCGCAGACAGACGAGAAGAAGCUGCUGAUGAUCUCAGUGGAUCGUCUCGUCAACUCCAACAACAAACUGCCGAUAUCAACGAGCGGUUCGCUCCACUGGAGCGUUCGGGACUCUGCGGGUUUCUGUCCAUGGAGGAGAGGAACCGACUCAAAGAAGAGGAGACGGGCGCACGAUCCCACGAUAGCGCCGCCUGUGAGACGUAUUGUGAGACGGGACGCAGGAGCUUCAGGUUCAGGCGGAACACUCAUUGCGAGCGGAAGCUGCGAAGGAUUCAGCGCGGAGUCGAGCGAGAAGAAAGAGGCUGCUGGAAUCGAGACAAAGUGUGCUGGCUGAUGACGAGGUGGAACUCCGCCACCGUGGAGCUCACGUCGGACGGAGGGGACGGCGUUGUUGGCGGCGUCUCGGGUGGAUUGUACGGUCGCCACACAGACACGAGCCGCCUGCACAACAGACCUGCCUCGGAAAACACGGCGCCAGUGACGGUCUACGACCCCGAGGAGGCAAACGGACAGUUUACUGAGCUGUAGUUUUUAAACCGCCGUUACCCAAGUGUGGGCAGAUCCUCACUUUGUAUGUAGUUGUUGUUUGUGUGUUAAUAAAGCUCUUUCUUUGCAUAAACAUGUGGCAAAUGUUCAUUUUCUCUAUAAAUUCAUUGAUGUCCUGG